rnacentral:lncRNA from 1 species
UGGAAAUGGCGUGUUCUAGGUCUAGGUAACUUGCAAUUGAUCCAAAAACUGUUUCUGGUUAGUCUUAUCUGGGAAAGUGGAUGGCGAAUUGAUCCUUUCAAGUUCAAAUCCAAUUAUGUCAACCUCCGGCUUAAAACCUUCAGUGGCCUCUCCUUUCCAUUUAGGAUCAAGAGCACAACUCCUGCGGGGAUGAACCCCUCAGCAGCCCAGACUUCGCCCCAGCCCUCCCUCUCAGUACUUCUUCCACUCACUGGCCUCCAGUGCUACAACUAGACUCAUGGCUCCAGGAUCUUGCAAUCCACCUCAGGCUUAUUCUGUUCUGAUUGUGGGUCUGUUGUCAUUUCUGCAGGAAGCCCGGCCUGGAGACCCAGGAGGGCACUAACAGAGUUCACUGUGCCUUGUCACAGAAUUGAUGGCUACUGUCAGCACCAAGCUAAGCUCCAGCUUCAUUUCAACCU